rnacentral:rRNA from 1 species
UACGUAGGGUGCAAGCGUUAAUCGGAAUUACUGGGCGUAAAGCGUGCGCAGGCGGUUUUGUAAGUUUGUCGUGAAAGCCCCGGGCUCAACCUGGGAAUUGCGAUGAAGACUGCAAGGCUUGAAUCUGGCAGAGGGGGGUAGAAUCCCACGUGUAGCAGUGAAAUGCGUAGAGAUGUGGAGGAACACCGAUGGCGAAGGCAGCCCCCUGGGUCAAGAUUGACGCUCAUGCACGAAAGCGUGGGGAGCAAACAGG